rnacentral:lncRNA from 1 species
GCUUAUUUUAUCCAGGAGUUCUAGGUAAGACCACUUUUUCAAAUAUCCUCUGAACGUUGACUUAGGUGCACACACCUGUGCUUCCAUUGGCAACAAAAGCUUUGAAUGCACAGGACUUCCACGGCAUGAAAUGCAUUUACAUACAUUACAUAAGAGAGAAGCAAUGAGCAAGUCUGUUGCUGGGAGAGGCUCACAUCCUUCUCACCAAAUCAAUCUGUAACUUUCAAAUAGCUCUGCUGUAUUUCCUAGCAACAGGAGUAAACACUGUACUACAUCCAGUGCCCAAGAUUUGUAACCACGUUAAUCUGUUAGAAGCCUAGAUGUGUGACUGGAGAUGCCUCCUGUCCAUUCAAUCUGACUCCAAUGUGGUUCUGCAGCACUGGACAAAGAUGGGAGAUUGAAACAGGAGCCCCUGCGAUGGGGGAACAGAGCCAGGGAGCAGGGGUUGGACAGAACCCAGGUUUGAGAAAACAACCUUGUGAACCUUCUAUUGGAGCAGCAAUAAAGAUCUGAGCUAAGUGUCGAGGGAGGCUGAGGAGGUGGUCACUAAGUCUGUCUUAGGCAUCCCAGGGUCUCCUCAGAGUCCAAGCCUGAAGUCCACUGCAGGGGUCACCAGCCACCUGUGGCCACAUUGGAAUGUGGCCAUUCUGAAUUGAGGUAAGUAAAAAACAUACACCAAAUUUCAAAGAUGUAAUAUGGGAAAAAAAGAAUGUAAGGUACUUGGUUAAUGAUUUUUUAUAUGGAUUACAUAUGGAAAUGCUACCAUUUUGGCUAUAUUGGGUAAGAUAUAUUAUUAAAAUUGAUGUCACCUGUUCCCUUUUACUUUUUUAAGCGCGCCUGCUAUAAAAUAUGAAAUUGCCUGCAUGGCUCCCAUUCAUGGAUCCUAUUACAUUUCUAUCUGCCAGUGUAGGUUGGUGCAGUCACAAGACAAUGCUUCAGGAGAAAAUCUGGGGAGGCGGUCUCAGGGCAAGAGGGUGAGUGGGGGAAAUGCCUAUGGAAUGAGAAAGAGACAACAGGGGGACCGACCCAUCAAGGGCUACAAAGAAGGUGAAUUUGCUUUCUGAGUUGUGCUUGCCUGCCGGACUCAUUUGCAGCAAGAGAGACCAGAAUAUAAAGGCCACGAUAAUAACAUCUCAAAUAAAUUAGAAGCAGCUUGUGGUUUAUAGUGAGCAAUGCUCUACUGGGGACCAGACCAAGCAGUUACCCCUGUCUUCACUCCAUCUGUGGUUAAGUCAUUUGGUCACUGUUGCCUUCUCAUCUGCAAAGCGGGGACUGAGAUUAACUGCUUGGCCUGCAUAUCCCCCUGACUCUGUCAACUAAGUUUUCGGAAACCUGAAGCACUCUAAACAUCCUGGGGGAAGAAAGGGCUGGAGAAACAUACAAUGUUUUGUGAUCAGAGUUUUUAAGCUGAAAAGAAUGAAGAAACUUGAAUAGAAUAAAUUCUUGAUACUUCCUUUUUCAUAACACUUACCACGCUUUAUUUCGAUUAUUUAUUAGCCCCCUUCCUAGCUAGAUAUAAGCUAGCUAUAAAUACCAUGAGCUCAGGACCCACAUCUGUCUGCUCACUGCUGUGACCGCAACUUAGAGGACAGAGCCCAGAAUACAGGCCUCAAUAAAUACUGUGGAAGAGGGGUCACAUGGAGAAUUUGCAGUCAUUUUUGCUGUUGAGCAUCUGUUAAGUUAAAGUUUCCAAGUGUGCAAACUGUACUCGGAAAUGAGUAAGAAGUAGAAACUUACCUAGAGAUGAUCAAACCAGUAGUGCUGUCACUCUAAUGAUGUUAUCUGUCCCACUGUGAAAACAUUGUCACAGGUGAAGGAGGAGAGUGAGGUGAGACCUUCCCAGCCCUUGACUGCUCUUGCACUGGACACAUUCCAGGAAGCUCUUGUGGCAGAAGCAGCCACUUAACUUACUUUUAACAAGAGAAGCUGAAGGCUGAGGGAAGUCAGGACCAACAGAGGAUCCAAAUUUCAGUGGCACAAGUCUUAAGCUUCAUUUGGUUGCAUGAAUGAGUGCGGAAGCAGCAUGAAGUAGUGGUGAUACAAACCUGGGUUCUGUGUUUAAUUCUAUUCUCAGUACUUUCCCAGUGGGAGACUGUGAGUUCCCUCUCUGAACCUCGUUCUCCUCCAUGGCUUAAAACUGGACUCAUAAUGCAUGGCUUAGCUAUAAUGUACCUUUCAAAAAGGGCUGGCAUCCGGUAAACACUGAAUAAAUGGUUACAUGUCAAACACAGUAAACAUUCAACAAUGGCUAAUAUCUUCCUUCUGCAUCAGCUUUUAAAACAGAUUUUUUAACCUGGAGUCCAAGGAGUCCCAGGAAAUCCACAGACGAGAUUCAAUGGAUCCUUGAAAUCCCUAAAAUUAAAUACAAAGCGGGGUAUGUGUGGACAUCUUUUCUCUUCAAGGAAAGAAUCCAUAGCUUUCAUAUGAUGCUCUUAAGACUCUCAGACUGAAAACAGUUUAAGAACUAUUGAGUUUCUGUGGCUUCCAAAGUGUUUAGCUCCUUCUAUUUAUCUAUGGAAUAGCUCUGUGAAUGACUCUCAAAACCAAGCUUUUCUGUGCCUCCUCAAGAGGCCUGCAUUUUAUAUGCAGCAGUACAACUUCCUUCCAUAAGACGCUUUUAUUUUCUGGCAGCAGCAGUAUCACAGGAAGAUGACUGGAAUUUAUAAGUAAGAAACUGAUCUUAAUUUCAACAAUAGUACUGGAGCCCUUACCUCUUUAAAUACACCUUUUUCCAUAGUUUUUUUUUUUAUAGGAUUGAUGACCAAAGAAGGCAGCUAUAAUGUUUUAUUCUCAAGAUGAUGGUUACUCAUCUUAGAAUAAAAACAACAACAACAAAAAAUAACAGAUGAAUGGGAAGAGCCCAAUCAAAGCUUUAUUCUACUCCUCAACAACUCAGGUGAGUGUCUGGCCACUUGGCAGUCGCCAGGAGGAAGGAGCUUAGUGGCAGACAAACUGCUUCAAAUCUCUAAAUCUUUGUUUCCUCAUCUGUUAAAAAAAAAAAAAAAAAAAAAAGAUGAUAACAGUGACGCCUCCUACCUAGGGCUGCUGUGAGAACUAAAUAAGAAAGUAAUUGUAAGGCAUCUUUUAAGUACUCAAAACAGAGUGCCUCAUAAAUAUUAAUUAUUAAAUAUCCUCUCUGAUGAUAGGGGGAAAAGGAUUCCUUAUCUGGUCUCUGACCCAUAGAUUUUAGCCUGGAGAUUUACUCUGGGUCACUGAUAUUUUCCAGCCUCCUCCUUAAGGUUGUUAUUAGUGACCAAGUAAUAAGUAAGUAUAUAAACCAUUGAGAAAACUGUUGAAAAAGUGUCUGAGCAGCAGCUUCAAAGAGAAUCUGUCUUCAUGUCCCAGUAUCCUAAGAGGCAAAUGUGAAAAUCAAUUUAAAGGAAAUAGAAUAUACCUAAAGAAAGUCACCUGAAAAAAUGAAAGAUGAAUGAUUCAACACACAUUUUUCUCUCAUUUAUUUAAAAAUUUUUGAGAUACAUGGUGGGCAAGGCACUGUACUGAGCACAGGAUGUGCAAAGAUAAGGAAGUAAGUCCAGCUCUCAAGACAUUUAGUCUACAGAGGGAGACACACAUGUAUAUCCAACGCCAUACGUACCACAGGAUAAAGUGUGAUGUGGGGAGAGGCUGGGAGGGGAUGUUCAGCAGGGGCUUCUUGAAAAAGCAACACUUGAGAUGAGUUUGGAAGGAUAAGUAAAUGUUUAAUAGUUCAUAGUUUGAGAAAGAAGAAACAAUAUUCCACAGAGACAACAGCCCAUGUAAAAGCACAUGCAAUGAAGCAUUUAAGCAUGGGGAUAAUAUGGGCAGCUAGAAGAAGGCGUUGCUGAACAUACCAGCACCUACCCAUCCCCUGCACCCACAGGAGGAGGCAGGACUCACCUCAGAGAGAAUCUUGGAAUUCAUGGUAGGAGCCUGUACUUUUCUCCAGGACUAUGACAAGGUUUGGAAUGGUUCUUAGCAGGGAGUUAUAUAAUUCAAUUUUAUCUAUUCUUUAGAAAGAGCAAGCAGGCAGCGGUGAGGAGGAUGGAUUGAAAGCUGAGAGACUGAAGGCAGCAUUUGUAGAGGUGACUUGGGAAGAGUGAAACAUGAAAGGAAGUGGAGCAGGAGGUCUUGGUGACUGAUUAGGUGGAGGAAGAAAGGGAGAAGGUCAGAUCGAGAUCAUUCCCAGGUCUCUGGCUUGGAGGUGUAGUGAGAGGAUGAUAUGCCUGUCAGGGAAAACAGGUGUUAUAGUAUUUAAUAGAUAUCUGCUGUUUCUGCACGCACAGCAUCUCCUAUCUCUUCUUUUCAAUAUUUCCUUUUAAAAACUACCCCUUCCCUGCUCUCAGGUUAUAUGGUUUAGAAGAGUUUUGCUGACUAGUCUCCCAUGUACUUCCUUCACUCCCAUACACUCCUUCCCACCUGCCGUCACACAUACCACUCUCCCCUUCCAAAAGCCUCCAGGACUGGGCUCAUAAUCAAAGCUGAGUCAAGUGGCAUGGUCCAAAUCUCCGGCCAUAGGGUCUGGUUCAAGCAUAUGCAUGUGAUCAAAGUGGUCUAAUUAAAGUUAAUCCUGAAUUCUCUUUUUCUCAGGAGUUAAGCCUAAAGCUGCAGAUGAAAAUUUUGCCACCAUGAAGAAAAGAAGAAAUCAGAAUUGGAUUCUUUCUGAACUUUUCCUUUACAGUAGCCAGUAUAUGCCCUUUCCUACUUGAGCAAGUAUAAACUGGGUUUCUGUGAUUUGCAACCAAGUGUCCUGACAAACACAAGGAUGAAAGACAACUGUGUCUCAAUAAAGGAAAAAUAGUUUAUUUUUAUGAGUGGUGGAUUUAAAAAACCUACAUUACUGUGACAAGAGUACCUUAAAACAUUUAAGUCUACAAAAGGCACUUAGGGACUUUAUAGCAAACUCUACACUUAUAAUGAAAAGCCAGACCAGAUCAUUUUAAAAAAACGUUACUGCACGAGAUAAUGGCACAUCCACUCGUUCAAUUAACAUUUAUUGAGUGUCUUCAGGGGUUUUAGACUUGUGCAAUAAAAAUGAUAAAAACGUAUUCUUUGGUUUGAGCUGGUCCAUCCAAGGUCGUUCCAUAAAGAGCAGCUGUGUAUGCUGUUCAGACUAAUUGUGUGAAGCUGGAGAGGCCAGGUGUUUCUGUCUGGCCCAGCAGCUGCACUUUGCGGUAAGGGCACCACCUGAAUUUCAGUCUGGCCAUAAAAUGAGGCUGAAGAAACAGCACCUUGCAUGAGCUUUUAGGUGAAAGGCAGAACAG